CCCCCCCCCCCGGCCCCCCUCUGGAUCGCUCACCGACUGCUGAGCGCGCUCUUCUCUGGCGGCUGCCCUCCACCCGCUUCCGCCCGCGGGUCCUGGAGGCUCCCAGCGCCGCCUGGCCUCGGUCCGGGGACGGCGGCGCACGCGGUGGCGGCCCGGCUCGCUCGCGCCUCAUCCCCGCGGCGGUCUCGCCCUCUGCGUUCCCCGGCACCGAAGCCCUCGGGCGCCGUUCCGCACAGCACGACGGCUGUUACCUGCCGUGUGAGGGGGGCUGCGGUGUGUCUACGCUUCCAGGCCUCUCCCCGGAACUCUCCGGCCGUCGUGGCCCUCGAGAACUCCCGUCUGAACUCGGACCUCCUCUGCAAAGCCUUCCGUGCCUCGGCUUCCGUCCACGUGACUACCUUGAAGCGAGGCGCAGCGUUACUCGCGCUCCUUUGCCGUGUCCGGUUGGGGCGCCGGGAGCGGGGGUUCCGGCGAGGCCCGGCGGCGGCCGGCCCGGAAACAGGAGCCGGCGUCGAGGUUCCGCGCGCUGCCGCCCUUGGCCGCCUGCCCCGGCUUCGCAGGGCUGUUCCGCUCGCAGGUCCCCCAGCCGGAGCCGCUUUCCGGGGCACAGCCCCGCGCUGGUCCUGUGCGGCCGAGACCGCGGGCGGCCGCGUGCCUCAACCCGGAUGCGGCCUCCUAGAAAACCCUGACUCGGGGCCGGUGCAGCGGGCCCUCGUCUUGCCGCUUCCCUCCCGCAGCCUGAUGAGAUAUUUCAGAUUCAGAGAAGUUACUUGCCCCAAACCAAAUUACCAGUAAUUGGAAGAUCAAGAAUGAAAAGGACUCUUUCCAUCACACCACAUGAUGAUCUGUACUCUCCACAAAAGUGAAAAUUGUCCAGUAGCUGGAGCAGAUUUCUUCCCCCAACAAAGAAGAUGGGUGUUCCUGUGGUGAGAGCAGAGUUGGGGAGAAGCCAAGUCUAAUCAUCUCACUACCUAGAAGAGAUGAAGUACUGCCUUGAAAUGUGCCCACUCCACAGCUGUGACAAGAGCUGCCACAGUCUAAUUGCUAGUCUAAUUGCUGUGUCACCAGAUACACAUAUAGAAGAAAGAGAGCCUGAAGGUUGCAAGUAAGGAUUCAAAGUGAAUCUAGGCUGGUACAUGUUCCCUAUGUCUUUUAGCCUGUGCCCUCUAGAGCUGCCAAUGCUAUGGUCAAAACAGCCAUGUGGAUUAAAAAACAGUGACACAAGGAGACUGUGACAGUUGGUGUGACUGAGUUACAACACGCCAUGGAGUAUCCCAUAAAGUUGAGAACUCUGCCUCCUAUUCUUAUUUUAAUGUCAUUCUCUUGGAUUAGGUUUUCCUGAGAUAAAAUGAGUGAAUUCUCUUUUAAUGAAUUAUUCAAAACAUAAAAAUAAAAUAUCAUCUUCUGUACA
rnacentral:lncRNA from 12 species